UUAGCAACCAGGAAAGUGCCCCAAGAGAAGGGCUCUGUACGGAGACGCCGGGCCGGGCCUGCACAGGACGUCCCCUCCACGGUGGCCGGGAGACCACCACGCUCCUGGGGCAGGUCCCCACCCAGCUCCGCGGGCAGCGGCGGGGGCCUCCCCUCCCUGGGUCGACCACAGUGGUGGCCUGUGGGGCAGCAGGUGUCCCCUGGGCCGUAGGGAUGUGCAUCGUGUGAGCGGGCCUGGGAAGAGCGCGGACGCCAGCGAGGACCGGGCUGACCGUCUGCCUUCCUCUGCGUCUCACACGGCAAGAAUGAGGCAUUUCUGCUCCUUUCCGGUGUGGACUGUGGGGUGUCCUGCACGGCUCAGUCCUGUGGGUUGGUCAGCGCAGUGGGGAAGGGCUGUGAGUGACCAGGACCCCGCCAGCAUGCGGCCCCGUGGCCCGUUCACACGGAGCCUGGACCAAGCCCGGGACAGCGGGCCCCGUGCCUCAGUCUCCCCAUCCACCAGGAGCUACCUGGCCACAGCUCUGGGUGACACUCCCGAUGAAACCACGGUGACCCCCGAUGACCUACUGUUUCCUGAGCACGCAAGCGAAUGGACUCUGAGUCAUGCAGGGGUCACCAU